CCUCACAAACUCGUCUUGGCGGUGAUUCAUAACUUUAGCCAAUGCAUCAACCUGCUCAACGUGGGGGAUUGACUUCCAGAAUCAUUCUAGUGGCAACAAGUUUCUUGAUGAGAACUGUCUCGAGUAGCUCCACAAAGAGCUAAAUACCAUUCCCUGAAAACAUUAGUAUGCUAGCCUGUCAGAUAACUACAGGUACCACCAAACAACCCAAAAAAAAAGCAAUUCCUUUUAAAACAGAUUAGCAAACAAAUGUUUUCAACGAAGUUAGAAGAUUCUUUAAGAUGCAUAAAGCUUUGUCACAAAAGUUUUUAAAAUUAGGACAUACACUAGAACUGUAAAGUCUAACUUAUCCUUUUCAUGAGAGGUAGAUAAGUAGUUAAAGAGGAAACCAAUAACACAUGAAAUAAAUAUAGAAAAAUAACUGGAAGUUACAAAUGAAUUUGAGGUUAAAGGCAUUGAAUGCUGUAGAAAAAACAACAAAAGUCAAAUUGAAGACAUGAAGAUUUUGCAACCAGCAAAUUUCUACAUAAGGGUAGUGGCGCAACAAAAUGCAAUACCUUGAUCAAACAUGAGGCAAUUCCUCAUAAUGAAAGUUGUAGCCCUUAAUUCCAAAGAAAUAAUAUUAAUAAAAUUGGCAUUUGUCGAUAUUUAAGUUGGCUAUCAGCUUACCAAACCUCCUCCUUUGACUGGAGUUGACCGAAUUCAACAGAAAUCGCUUAAUUAUCCGUGUGGAAUGCUGAUCUUAAGUUGAACAGAAAGCGAAGCAUGGGAGUGAAGAAAGCAAACCAAGCAAAGUGCGAUUAACUAUGUUCACGAAGAAUCUACACUCUGUAACAGCAAGAAGCAACUAAUUUUUUUAGAAAGCGAAGCGGAUUUAUGGUUCUGCUCUGAUUUUGAAUUGUAAUUAAGAAAAAUACUUGCAACUUGUCUGAGAUUUCCUUUCUGGUUCAUAGGAGAGAGAGAGAGAGAGAGAGAUUAGUCAGGAGAGUCCGCGAGAGGAUCCGCCUUUGUGGGUCCUGUUCUUAGUUUUACCGGGACCCACUCGGUGGCUUUUCAAACCGGUAUCAGCUGUCUUUGAAAAUCACACAGGGCAACGUCCAGCCAGGCCUUUGCCUUGGAUUUUUCCUUGUUUCUUCUUUCUUGCGGGUGUCAUUUUCU
rnacentral:lncRNA from 1 species